rnacentral:misc_RNA from 1 species
AAAGUCGUAACAAGGUUUCCGUAGGUGAACCUGCGGAAGGAUCAUUAAUGAAUUUAGAGUGGCUCUUCGGAGCGCUCAACCCUCAUUUCUAACUCUGUGCACUCUUUGGUGGUUGCGAAGCUUGUCUUCAAAGCCACGGCUCAUUUAUAACACUAGUUAAAGAAUGUAUUUAAAAUAUAAAACAAAAAAAAACUUUCAACAACGGAUCUCUUGGCUCUC